AUUGAACGCUGGCGGCAUGCUUUACACAUGCAAGUCGAACGGUAACAGGUUAAGCUGACGAGUGGCGAACGGGUGAGUAAUGCAUCGGAACGUGCCCGGUCGUGGGGGAUAACGCAGCGAAAGCUGCGCUAAUACCGCAUACGAUCGAAGGAUGAAAGCGGGGGACCGUAAGGCCUCACGCGAUCGGAGCUGCCGAUGUCAGAUGAGGUAGUUGGUGGGGUAAAGGCUCACCAAGCCAACGAUCUGUAGCUGGUCUGAGAGGACGACCAGCCACACUGGGACUGAGACACGGCCCAGACUCCUACGGGAGGCAGCAGUGGGGAAUUUUGGACAAUGGGCGAAAGCCUGAUCCAGCAAAGCCGCGUGCAGGAAGAAGGCCUUCGGGUUGUAAACUGCUUUUGUACGGAGCGAAAAGGUCUCCUCUAAUACAGGGGGCUCAUGACGGUACCGUAAGAAUAAGCACCGGCUAACUACGUGCCAGCCGCCGCUGUAA
rnacentral:rRNA from 1 species